rnacentral:rRNA from 1 species
CUUAACACAUGCAAGUCGAGGGGUAACAGGUCUUUCGGGACGCUGACGACCGGCGCACGGGUGAGUAACGCGUAUGCAAUCUGCCUUCAGCUGGAGGAUAGCCCGGAGAAAUCCGGAUUAAUACUCCAAAUGCUAUCGGACGGCAUCGUCUGAUAUCUAAAGCUCCGGCGGCUGAUGAUGAGCAUGCGUGACAUUAGUUAGUUGGUGAGGUAACGGCUCACCAAGACUACGAUGUCUAUGGGGUCUUAAAGGAUGAUCCCACACACUGGUACUGAGACACGGACCAGACUCCUACGGGAGGCAGCAGUGAGGAAUAUUGGUCAAUGGGCGAAAGCCUGAACCAGCCAUGCCGCGUGAAGGAUGACGGCCCUACGGGUUGUAAACUUCUUUUGUACGGAAAGAACAAAGGCUACGUGUAGCCUCUUGACGGUACCGUGCGAAUAAGCAUCGGCUAACUCCGUGCCAGCAGCCGCGGUAAUACGGAGGAUGCAAGCGUUAUCCGGAUUUAUUAGGUUUAAAGGGUGCGUAGGCGGAGUUUUAAGUCAGUGGUGAAAUCUUGUGGCUCAACCAUGAAACUGCCAUCGAUACUAUUGCUCUUGAAUGUAGUUGAGGUAGGCGGAAUGUGUAGUGUAGCGGUGAAAUGCUUAGAUAUUACACAGAACACCAAUUGCGAAGGCAGCUUACUAGACUAUGAUUGACGCUGAGGCACGAAAGCGUGGGGAGCGAACAGGAUUAGAUACCCUGGUGGUCCACGCUGUAAACGAUGAUCACUGGUUGUUGGCGAUACACUGUCAGCGACUGAGCGAAAGCAUUAAGUGAUCCACCUGGGGAGUACGUCGGCAACGAUGAAACUCAAAGGAAUUGACGGGGGCCCGCACAAGCGGAGGAACAUGUGGUUUAAUUCGAUGAUACGCGAGGAACCUUACCUGGGCUUAAGUGUAGCAUGACUGCUGUCGAAAGAUAGUUUCCCUUCGGGGCAAGUUACAAGGUGCUGCAUGGCUGUCGUCAGCUCGUGCCGUGAGGUGUCGGGUUAAGUCCCAUAACGAGCGCAACCCUUAUCGUUAGUUACCAGCGCGUAAAGGCGGGGACUCUAACGAGACUGCCACCGUAAGGUGUGAGGAAGGUGGGAUGACGUCAAGUCAGCACGGCCCUUACGUCCAGGGCUACACACGUGUUACAAUGGCCAGUACAAAGGGCAGCUACCAGGCGACUGGAUGCUAAUCUCCAAAACUGGUCUUAGUUCGGAUUGAAGUCUGCAACUCGACUUCAUGAAGUUGGAUUCGCUAGUAAUCGCGCAUCAGCCACGGCGCGGUGAUACGUUCCCGGGCCUUGUACACACCGCCCGUCAAGCCAUGGAAGCUGGGGGUACCUGAAGUCCGUAACC